UACGUAGGGUGCGAGCGUUGUCCGGAAUUAUUGGGCGUAAAGGGCUCGUAGGCGGUUUGUCGCGUCGGGAGUGAAAACCCAGGGCUUAACCCUGGGCUGGCUUCCGAUACGGGCAGACUAGAGGUAUGCAGGGGAGAACGGAAUCCCUGGUGUAGCGGUGAAAUGCGCAGAUAUCAGGAGGAACACCGGUGGCGAAGGCGGUUCUCUGGGCAUUACCUGACGCUGAGGAGCGAAAGUGUGGGGAGCGAACAGG
rnacentral:rRNA from 1 species